CUACGGGAGGCAGCAGUGGGGAAUAUUGCACAAUGGGCGCAAGCCUGAUGCAGCGACGCCGCGUGGGGGAUGACGGCCUUCGGGUUGUAAACUCCUUUCAACCAUGACGAAGCUUUUGUGACGGUAGUGGUAGAAGAAGCACCGGCUAACUACGUGCCAGCAGCCGCGGUAAUACGUAGGGUGCGAGCGUUGUCCGGAAUUACUGGGCGUAAAGAGCUCGUAGGUGGUUUGUCGCGUCGUCUGUGAAAUUCCGGGGCUUAACUCCGGGCGUGCAGGCGAUACGGGCAUAACUUGAGUGCUGUAGGGGAGACUGGAAUUCCUGGUGUAGCGGUGAAAUGCGCAGAUAUCAGGAGGAACACCGAUGGCGAAGGCAGGUCUCUGGGCAGUAACUGACGCUGAGGAGCGAAAGCAUGGGUAGCGAACAGGAUUAGAUACCCUGGUAGUCCAUGCCGUAAACGGUGGGCGCUAGGUGUGGGGGUCUUCCACGACUUCUGUGCCGUAGCUAACGCAUUAAGCGCCCCGCCUGGGGAGUACGGCCGCAAGGCUAAAACUCAAAGGAAUUGACGGGGGCCCGCACAAGCGGCGGAGCAUGUGGAUUAAUUCGAUGCAACGCGAAGAACCUUACCUGGGCUUGACAUAUGCCGGAUCGGCGCAGAGAUGCGUUUUCCCUUGUGGUCGGUAUACAGGUGGUGCAUGGUUGUCGUCAGCUCGUGUCGUGAGAUGUUGGGUUAAGUCCCGCAACGAGCGCAACCCUCGUUCCAUGUUGCCAGCGGGUUAUGCCGGGGACUCAUGGGAGACUGCCGGGGUCAACUCGGAGGAAGGUGGGGAUGACGUCAAAUCAUCAUGCCCCUUAUGUCUUGGGCUUCACGCAUGCUACAAUGGCCGGUACAAUGGGUUGCGAUACUGUGAGGUGGAGCUAAUCCCUUAAAGCCGGUCUCAGUUCGGAUUGGGGUCUGCAACUCG
rnacentral:rRNA from 1 species